rnacentral:rRNA from 1 species
CGUGGCAGCAUCUUCACCUCUAAGUUUUGGGAUUCUUUUCAGAAGGCCAUGGGCACCAACAUUCGCUUCAGCACAACUUUUCAUCCUCAAACUAGUUGCAAAGUCAAGCGAGUCAAUCAGAUUCUUGAAGAUAUGCUCAGGGCUUGUGUCAUCUCUUUCCGUAUGAAGUGGGAAGAUUGUCUUCCAUAUGCCGAGUUCUCCUACAACAACAGCUUCCAAGCGAGUUCGGGCAAGGCCCCAUUCGAGAUUCUCUAUGGCAGGAAGUGUCGUACUCCUCUAAACUGGUCAGAGACUAGUGAACGUCAACUUCUUGGCAAUGACUUGAUCACAGAGGCUGAAGAAAUGUGCAAAGUCAUUUGUGAAAAUCUCAAAGCCGUGCAAUCGCGCCAGAAGAGUUAUUAUGAUAGCAAGCAUCGUGACUUGGCUUUCGAGAUCGGAGACCAUGUCUACCUCCGCGUCUCUCCAAUGAAAGGUACUCGUCGCUUCGGUAUCAAAGGGAAGCUUGCCCCGAGAUACGUGGGUCCUUUCAAGAUCAUCGGCAAAAGAGACGAUCUCGCCUAUCAACUUGUGCUUCCGUCCAAGUUUGCAAAUGUGCACGAUGUGUUCCAUGUGUCUCUGCUUCGCAAGUGUUUCAAG